rnacentral:rRNA from 1 species
UUAGAGUUUGUUCCUGGCUCAGGAUGAACGCCGGCGGUGUGCCUAAUACAUGCAAGUCGUACGCACUGGCCCAACUGAUUGAUGGUGCUUGCACCUGAUUGACGAUGGAUCACCAGUGAGUGGCGGACGGGUGAGUAACACGUAGGUAACCUGCCCCGGAGCGGGGGAUAACAUUUGGAAACAGAUGCUAAUACCGCAUAACAACAAAAGCCACAUGGCUUUUGUUUGAAAGAUGGCUUUGGCUAUCACUCUGGGAUGGACCUGCGGUGCAUUAGCUAGUUGGUAAGGUAACGGCUUACCAAGGCGAUGAUGCAUAGCCGAGUUGAGAGACUGAUCGGCCACAAUGGAACUGAGACACGGUCCAUACUCCUACGGGAGGCAGCAGUAGGGAAUCUUCCACAAUGGGCGCAAGCCUGAUGGAGCAACACCGCGUGAGUGAAGAAGGGUUUCGGCUCGUAAAGCUCUGUUGUUGGAGAAGAACGUGCGUGAGAGUAACUGUUCACGCAGUGACGGUAUCCAACCAGAAAGUCACGGCUAACUACGUGCCAGCAGCCGCGGUAAUACGUAGGUGGCAAGCGUUAUCCGGAUUUAUUGGGCGUAAAGCGAGCGCAGGCGGUUGCUUAGGUCUGAUGUGAAAGCCUUCGGCUUAACCGAAGAAGUGCAUCGGAAACCGGGCGACUUGAGUGCAGAAGAGGACAGUGGAACUCCAUGUGUAGCGGUGGAAUGCGUAGAUAUAUGGAAGAACACCAGUGGCGAAGGCGGCUGUCUGGUCUGCAACUGACGCUGAGGCUCGAAAGCAUGGGUAGCGAACAGGAUUAGAUACCCUGGUAGUCCAUGCCGUAAACGAUGAGUGCUAGGUGUUGGAGGGUUUCCGCCCUUCAGUGCCGGAGCUAACGCAUUAAGCACUCCGCCUGGGGAGUACGACCGCAAGGUUGAAACUCAAAGGAAUUGACGGGGGCCCGCACAAGCGGUGGAGCAUGUGGUUUAAUUCGAAGCUACGCGAAGAACCUUACCAGGUCUUGACAUCUUGCGCUAACCUUAGAGAUAAGGCGUUCCCUUCGGGGACGCAAUGACAGGUGGUGCAUGGUCGUCGUCAGCUCGUGUCGUGAGAUGUUGGGUUAAGUCCCGCAACGAGCGCAACCCUUGUUACUAGUUGCCAGCAUUAAGUUGGGCACUCUAGUGAGACUGCCGGUGACAAACCGGAGGAAGGUGGGGACGACGUCAGAUCAUCAUGCCCCUUAUGACCUGGGCUACACACGUGCUACAAUGGACGGUACAACGAGUCGCAAGCUCGCGAGAGUAAGCUAAUCUCUUAAAGCCGUUCUCAGUUCGGACUGUAGGCUGCAACUCGCCUACACGAAGUCGGAAUCGCUAGUAAUCGCGGAUCAGCAUGCCGCGGUGAAUACGUUCCCGGGCCUUGCACUCACCGCCCGUCA